UGGGGAAUAUUGCACAAUGGGCGCAAGCCUGAUGCAGCCAUGCCGCGUGUGUGAAGAAGGCCUUCGGGUUGUAAAGCACUUUCAGCGAGGAGGAAGGUGGUGAACUUAAUACGUUCAUCAAUUGACGUUACUCGCAGAAGAAGCACCGGCUAACUCCGUGCCAGCAGCCGCGGUAAUACGGAGGGUGCAAGCGUUAAUCGGAAUUACUGGGCGUAAAGCGCACGCAGGCGGUUUGUUAAGUCAGAUGUGAAAUCCCCGGGCUCAACCUGGGAACUGCAUUUGAAACUGGCAAGCUAGAGUCUCGUAGAGGGGGGUAGAAUUCCAGGUGUAGCGGUGAAAUGCGUAGAGAUCUGGAGGAAUACCGGUGGCGAAGGCGGCCUCCUGGACGAAGACUGACGCUCAGGUGCGAAAAGGCGUGGGGAGCAAACAGGAUUAGAUACCCUCGGUAGUCCACGCUGUAAACGAUGUCGAUUUGGAGGUUGUGCCCUUGAGGCGUGGCUUCCGGAGCUAACGCGUUAAAUCGACCGCCUGGGGGAGUACGGCCGCAAGGUUAAAAC
rnacentral:rRNA from 1 species